AUGACGGUACCNGAAGAAGAAGCACCGGCUAACUACGUGCCAGCAGCCGCGGUAAUACGUAGGGUGCGAGCGUUAAUCGGAAUUACUGGGCGUAAAGCGUGCGCAGGCGGUUUUGUAAGWCAGAUGUGAAAUCCCCGGGCUUAACCUGGGAACUGCNUUUGNNACUNCAAGGCUAGAGUGNNGCAGAGGGGGGUGGAAUUCCACGUGUAGCAGUGAAAUGCGUAGANAUGUGGAGGAACACCGAUGGCGAAGGCANCCCCCUGGGUNAANACUGACGCUCANGCACNAAAGCGUGGGGAGCAAACAGGAUUAGAUACCCUGGUAGUCCACGCCCUAAACUAUGUCAACU
rnacentral:rRNA from 1 species